rnacentral:lncRNA from 10 species
UCCGGGAUGGAAACUUCUCUGCCAGCUUGUGGGUUGGGCAAGGACGACACUCCGGGCCCUACCGGCGGAAGCUCUGCUCCUGUCGUGCGUGGACCACGCAGCAAAUGGCCUUGGAGGCUGCUGGCAGCCAUCUUGUGACCAUGAGGCAAGUCAGCGCAGGCCGAAGCUGACGACGCGAAGACAAUGAGGAGAGGGAGAAAGAGCCGAUCUUUGGCAUCUAAGCCGGGCACAUUGGCCCAAGCCUGUAAUCCCAGCACUUUGGGAGGCCGAGGCAGGCGGAUCACUUAAGCUCAGGAGUUCGAAACCAGCCUGGCCAAGAUGGUGAAACCCCAUCUCUACUAAAAAUACAAAAGAUUAGCCGGCUGUGAUGACGCGCACCUGUAAUCUCAGCUACUCGGGAGGCUGAGGCACGAGAAUCGCUUGCACCCAGGAGGUGGAGGCUGCAGUGAGCCGAGAUCACGCCAGGGCACUCCGGCCUGGGCGACAGAGUGAGACUUCGUCUCAAGAAAAACCAAAAAUCCAAAAGAACUACAGGCAUCGGCUGUGUCCCCACUAGGAAGCCGGAGGGGAGCAGGGCUGGGUGUGUCUUCUCUGGCUGCGUCCCUGCGGCCACAAGGCCUGUUCUUCCUCUGUGCCCCGCCUGCCAAGGACCCAGCCUUGUGAAGGAUGGAUGAAUGAAUCAUUGAGCAAAUGAAUGAGUGUGUGAACAGGUGAGUGAGGAGAAGCCGGCAGAGGCGGUGGGGUGGAUGGUCCACCCGGCUGGCCAGCGGCCUGUCACUCCCUGAGUGGCCUCUGGGUGGCAGCCAUGUGGCGCUGUCGGCUCAGGAAGGCUUGGUGCUGGAAUGGGGCUGGGACAUGGCCAGCCAGGCAGGGUGAGGAGGGUGGCAGCGCCCAGUGCAGCCUGGACAGAUGGGGUUCUGCCCGGCAGGGCUGGCAUGGGGGCUUCUUUAUGCCAAGCCAGCCCUGGGGGAGGCCUCGGCUGUCCAGGGUGAAACAGGGUCAGGGUGAUCAGGCUCGGUUUGUGGGGGCGGCCUGUCCUGCUGGAGGGUCCUCCUCACCCAACCCCAGCCUGCUGCAGGCUGUCUGCAGGGGAGAUGGCAAAGACGGUGUUGUCCAGUUUGCUUGGGACAUGAAUGGUCUGGCAAAUACGCAAUGACACAGCUCUGGGGUCCAGAUCCGGCCCAGGCGGCCGCCUGACAGAGGAGGUGCCCACAGAGCUUCCGUGAGAGGGCAGCCCAGGCCCAAGCAGCACUAGAACCCCGGCUUUGGGCUUUUGGGGACUUAGCCGGCCCCGGGGCCAGGGGUAGGAUCAGGUUUCCACAGGCCAGACGGCCCCGCACAGUCACCACCGUCACCGUCACCAUCACCCGGUGCUGGGCGGGCACCAUGUGGACUCCACUUGGCACUGGGCCGAUGGGCGGAUGCCAGAGCCAGAGCAAAGGCCUCGUUAGCCCCUCGGGGAGGGCACGGCAGGGCCGGGCGACUCAGGAGGGCUGCGGGGUGACGUCUGAUUGAGCCUGGAAGGACAGGCCGACCACAGGAUGGAGGCCACAGCAUCCUUCCCGGAGUCUGACCCCACGCUGGAGACAGAGGGGCUGGGCUGGGCUGGGCAACCUAGACCCGGGAGCCCAUCUGUCCAGCCACCAGCGUCCGUCUGUCUGGGUCCCUGCUAGGGAGAGUCUGCAGCAGGGAGACCCCGGCAGCUUCGAGUAUGGAGGGGAGACUCUGGCCGCCUGAGAGCUGGCUGCCAGGUGCUGAGCCGCCCCAAGAAAAAGCCCUCGUGGCAAGAAACUGAGGCCUCCAGCCAGCAGUCAGGGACCCGAGGCCUGAGACGGUGGAGGGUGAGCUUGCAAAGGGACCCCACAGUCGGGCCUUGAGAGGCCCACGGGCCUGGCCCACACCUCGGCUGCAGCCUUGUGAAGGUCCCUGAGCAGGGGACCCAGACUUCUGUCCUACAGAAACUUGGAGAUAAUAAAUGCCUGCUCUUCUACGGCACUGAGUGUCGGGUGAUUUGUUACGGGCAGUAGACAGCUAAUACCUGCCCCUUAGGACACCAAGUCCUCGCCUCCUGGAGGCCCAAGCCCCAGGGAGCCAUGCCUGACUUGCCGCCUGUCGAUGGGCCACGCGUUCCUUGUUGAUGCCAUUCUGGGGUCCCCUCACCCUGACAUACUAGGAGCCAGUUCCGAGGGAGGCUCUUCUGCCACCAACCCUGGCCCAGGGGGACACUGAGCUCCUUGAUGCUGAGGGCCGGUGGUUCCUUAUCGCCUGGCGACCAGCGUGUCCUCCGGGUCCUUUUCCAAUACCAGCACCUCCCAGCUCAAAAACACAACCCAGCACUCCUGUUCCUCCGUCUCCCGGCCCUCCCUCGACACUGGGCCGAGGCAGCCUGUGCACCUGCCCCAAGCUCCCAGGAGCUGACCCAGCAGCGGAUUCGGCCUGGUUCCCGGCAUCCUUACCGGGAUUUGGAAAAUGCUCCUUUCAAUCAAUAAAGGCCCCACGCGGGCCUUCUUCCGCCCUCCCCUCCAGCAUCCUCCAUCUCCAUUUCCACCCGUCCUCCCCGUCCUGCCAGGCCGCAGCUCCUUGCAGAAUAACCCACACCCUCCAGUCGCAGGGACAGAACACCCUAGUUACUGGCCUAGAAUUUUGCGGGGGACGAGGACAGGCAGACCCUAAGGAGGACACUCGCCUCAGGUGAGACCUUUGCAAGGUCCCGGCAGUGGGAGCCACUCCCGCCACUGCGGAGGGAACAGAGGGCAGGGAUCUAAGAGGCUUCUACCCAAAUACCGCAUCCAGGUCAUAGCGUCCCACCCCCCGCUGCCACCGGGGCCCUGACUUCAACACGGGAGGCAGACCAGACGCCACCGCCCUGGGAUCAGAGCUUGGGCCCGAGGGUUGGCCCCGUCUGCACUCUGGCUUUCGGAAUGAGGCUCGCUGUCAAUGCUGUGGUGGAGCUGCAUUCGUUUCCGGGGCUUCUAUAACAAGGUGCCAUAGAACAGGGCUCCAACAGCAGCCCAUUCUCCCACUGUCCUGGAGGCUGGAAGUUCGAGACCAAGGUGCCUGCAGAGUUGGUUCCUCCUGAGGCCUUUCUCCCUGGCUUGUAGAUGGCCCUCUUCUCCUGACUCCUCACACAGAGUCAUCCCUCUGUGUGUAUCUGUGUCCUAGUCUCUCUUCUUUUUCUUUUCGCUUCUUCUUUUUUUUUUUUUGAAGACAGGGUCUCUCUCUCUCUGUCACCCAGGCUGGAGUGCAGUGGUGUUAUCAUAGCUCACUGCAGCCUAGACCUCCCAGGCUCAGGUGAUGCUCCUACCUCAGCCUCCCAAGUAGCUGGGACCACAGACAUGUGUCACCACACCCGACUAAUUUUUUAUAUUUUGUUGUAGAGAUGGGGUCUCACUAUGUUGCCCAGGCUCAACUGGCUUUAAGCCAUCCUCCCACCUCGACCUUCCAAAGUGUUGGGAUUACAGGUGUGAGCCACUGAGCCUGGCCCUUAUCUCUUUUUCUCAGGACACGACUCAGGCCGGGCGUGGUGGCUCAUGCCUAUAAUCCCAGCACAUUGGGAGGCCAAGACGGGCGGAUCACCUGAGGUCAGGAGUUCCAGACCAGCCUGGUCAGCAUGG